rnacentral:rRNA from 1 species
UGAGUUUGAUCCUGGCUCAGGAUGAACGCUGGCGGCGUGCCUAAUACAUGCAAGUCGAGCGAACGGACGAGAAGCUUGCUUCUCUGAUGUUAGCGGCGGACGGGUGAGUAACACGUGGAUAACCUACCUAUAAGACUGGGAUAACUUCGGGAAACCGGAGCUAAUACCGGAUAAUAUUUUGAACCGCAUGGUUCAAAAGUGAAAGACGGUCUUGCUGUCACUUAUAGAUGGAUCCGCGCUGCAUUAGCUAGUUGGUAAGGUAACGGCUUACCAAGGCAACGAUGCAUAGCCGACCUGAGAGGGUGAUCGGCCACACUGGAACUGAGACACGGUCCAGACUCCUACGGGAGGCAGCAGUAGGGAAUCUUCCGCAAUGGGCGAAAGCCUGACGGAGCAACGCCGCGUGAGUGAUGAAGGUCUUCGGAUCGUAAAACUCUGUUAUUAGGGAAGAACAUAUGUGUAAGUAACUGUGCACAUCUUGACGGUACCUAAUCAGAAAGCCACGGCUAACUACGUGCCAGCAGCCGCGGUAAUACGUAGGUGGCAAGCGUUAUCCGGAAUUAUUGGGCGUAAAGCGCGCGUAGGCGGUUUUUUAAGUCUGAUGUGAAAGCCCACGGCUCAACCGUGGAGGGUCAUUGGAAACUGGAAAACUUGAGUGCAGAAGAGGAAAGUGGAAUUCCAUGUGUAGCGGUGAAAUGCGCAGAGAUAUGGAGGAACACCAGUGGCGAAGGCGACUUUCUGGUCUGUAACUGACGCUGAUGUGCGAAAGCGUGGGGAUCAAACAGGAUUAGAUACCCUGGUAGUCCACGCCGUAAACGAUGAGUGCUAAGUGUUAGGGGGUUUCCGCCCCUUAGUGCUGCAGCUAACGCAUUAAGCACUCCGCCUGGGGAGUACGACCGCAAGGUUGAAACUCAAAGGAAUUGACGGGGACCCGCACAAGCGGUGGAGCAUGUGGUUUAAUUCGAAGCAACGCGAAGAACCUUACCAAAUCUUGACAUCCUUUGACAACUCUAGAGAUAGAGCNUUCCCCUUCGGGGGACAAAGUGACAGGUGGUGCAUGGUUGUCGUCAGCUCGUGUCGUGAGAUGUUGGGUUAAGUCCCGCAACGAGCGCAACCCUUAAGCUUAGUUGCCAUCAUUAAGUUGGGCACUCUAAGUUGACUGCCGGUGACAAACCGGAGGAAGGUGGGGAUGACGUCAAAUCAUCAUGCCCCUUAUGAUUUGGGCUACACACGUGCUACAAUGGACAAUACAAAGGGCAGCGAAACCGCGAGGUCAAGCAAAUCCCAUAAAGUUGUUCUCAGUUCGGAUUGUAGUCUGCAACUCGACUACAUGAAGCUGGAAUCGCUAGUAAUCGUAGAUCAGCAUGCUACGGUGAAUACGUUCCCGGGUCUUGUACACACCGCCCGUCACACCACGAGAGUUUGUAACACCCGAAGCCGGUGGAGUAACCUUUUAGGAGCUAGCCGUCGAAG